rnacentral:snRNA from 1 species
UACCCAUCUCUACUUCAAAACGCAUAAAUCUUUCGCCUUUUACUAAAGAUUUCCGUGGAGGGGAACACUCAAAUGAGUCUAUAAAAUUUUUUGAAUACUCCGCUUCGGCGGAGUA